GAGUAAAAUAAAUAAAUAAAUAAAUAAAAUGUGCGUUUGGCAUUUUAGCACAAAAAUUUAGAAUAUUCUUGAGGCCCUUUGAAACAGAUUUGAAUAAUACUAUUAAAAUUGUUAAAGCUGCAGUAUACACAUACGAAAAUAAACAAUUUUCGGACACUUUAGGAGCAUUCGUACCAAUGCAUGCCAAUAGACAUAGGGCAGACUUAGCAGCGCUUAAUGUUCGAUCACAAUUUGUAAAUUAUUUCAAAGAAAAUUAAAAACAUAAAAUGUAUGAAAUAUAAACAAUAAAUUUUUUACCAUCUA